rnacentral:misc_RNA from 1 species
AAAUGCGAUAAGUAAUGUGAAUUGCAGAAUUCAGUGAAUCAUCGAAUCUUCGAACGCACAUUGCGCCCGCCAGCACUCUGGCGGGCAUGCCUGUUCGAGCGUCAUUUCAACCCUCAGAACCCCUUGCGGGAUCUGGCGUUGGGGAUUGGCAUCCAGCCAGCCCCGAAAUCUAGUGGCGGUCCCUCCGCGACCUCCCCUGUGCAGUAGCGAUACCUCGCAGCGGGACAGCGGUCUGACCACGCCGUAAAACCCCCAACUUCUCAAGGUUGACCUCGAAUCAGGUAGGAAUACCCGCUGAACUUAAGC